rnacentral:lncRNA from 1 species
UUUAUUUCUAAAACGGAAGGUUAUUACAUAGGAACAGUUACAUUUAUUACAAGUCCUGAUAUACUCAAAGUGCAUAACUUAUUACAAUAUCAGGAAGGUAGGAACCCUCCAAAGCUUAAACAUAAGCCUAACUAAUCUUCCUCCAGAACUGGAAACACCCUCCAGCCUUAGGAACACCUAGAGUACUCCUCAUCACCUACAACAACAUGGGUUCGAAAACCCUGAGUACGAAGUGUACUUUCGCAAGUCUUAGCCGACUAAGAAAAAUGACUCUCAAGGAUAUGCUGGUUAAAUAGGAAUCAAGGAAAAGGCUUUAGCAAGAAUCAACUUAGAUACUUUUGCAGAAAUAACUUACUAUAGUGAGUCCUUACUUUCAAUAUUUUAACGUCAGAUUAAAUAUUAAUAGACUCUGGUUGCAUCUAGUCUAAUUUCACCAUCUCAUCAAUACAACAUCAUUUUUAUUCAUAAUGUUUACAUCCUGACUUAGGUUGCAGGUCGGAGAUCAAGUCUCCACUCUCCGGGGAUAUAACGGCGAUCCAAAUCGAUUUACUCAGCUGAGGAUCUCUAACCACACGACAUAUGUAGCACUUAACCCUUGCAUAUGUCAGCCGUUCCCACAAAUCCUCCACAACGUGAACAGGUCCGCGCCACCCGAGAGCACACCACCGCUUUUAGGCGGUACUUUGCCAGGAGGGUACGUGCCACUCUUGCCAUCUCUCCACUCACAGUGCGCGAUUGUCUUUUCAUGUAUGGAAUAGUCGGGUUCAAGCUUACCCUGUCCCAUAUCGUGGCCAGUUAAGAUAGUCCUUGAUCAUACAGGCCUACAUACGCAUCCAAUCCUUAAUUAACCUGGGUAGAACAUCACAUGUUCCUAGCCCAAGUCCCGAUUUAAGUACUUCCAUCCUUAGAAUUGUUUGUGUUCCUUAGGAUGAAAAGAGCAUUAUAGGGAACUUUGCAGUAAGAUCCCAUCAUGCUCCCAAUGAAAAUAUUCUUGCAGGUAUAAGCCAUCCUUCCUCAGGAUAUCCCCUGAGCUAGGCAUUAAUGCAAAAGACAACCUCUAUCCACAAGAUCUAAGCAGGGCUAAGCAUUUUUGUAAAUUGUAUUUUGAUACUUCAUCAGAAGUAUCUAUAAAGGUAUGGAUAUCAAGGUAGGCAAUGCAUCCAAUAGUUUCCAAGCAACUCCUAUAAACUUAAUGCACAUUUCACUAGACUUAAAGUGUAUAAAAAUCUUUUAAAAAUACAAGGAAGGGGUAAAUGCACCGGGGCUUGCCUUAUUGCAAUGAAGAGGUUCCAAAUCCCUCUAUUAAAUACCCAGUUAGAUGGCUCCCAUCACUUGAUGAGCAAGCACUGAAGCAGACUCCUCUUCCGAAACCACUUCUUGAAUUUCAUCUUCUUCUUCUAGGAAUUCUACAUGUAAAGAUAUGAACAUGAAUGCUUAUGCUUAUGCAACCUGAAAAGAAAAUACUAAAAAGCAUCACAAGAAUUACACCUCUCUAAAGGUGCACACAAAAGCUAACAAAACCUUAAGAGAGCUAAAUACUCUAAUAUCACAACUCAAUUUACCAACCAAACUAGAAAACCUUGCUUCCAUAACCAACCAAGUACUUCAUUUAUGCAUUAAGCAAGGAUCCACACUGCAUGUACUACAAGUUAUAGUGUCCAAGAAUCAGCCACAAUUCACUGAACCUGUUUUCGUUUCUCUGAAUUCAUCUUCUAGUGCUCCAUUCCUCUCCCUCUGUUCAGUGCUUUGUAACUCACAAAUUCCCUCAACAACAAACCCAACUCAUUUACUCAAAGUUAUUCUCUAGACAUAGCUCUACCAACUUGGUAUAGAAAUCACAGGUUGAAAAUGUUUAGAGCAAGAGUUAUGGCAAUCCAAAGUUAAGCAGAACACUGAAAAUUUAGUUUCUAAUUUCUGAAACAGCACAAUACUGAGUCCGAUAGAGGGUUUUGCAGCAGGCUAUUCUCUAAAUUCCAUACAGUACCAAGCCCACUCUUUGCACAAAACUUGUUCAUCUAUAUCUGGUCUCUCAUUUUGCUACAGACUCUUAACCCAAAUAUCUUUGGAUUUAUUACCACAAGGCUCCAAAGUUGGGUAAAAACACACAUAUCCAGACUUAAAUAUUAUUCUAAGUCUGAAUCCCAACACCUGACAGUCCAUCUUUUGGCCACUUUUACUCCCAAAUUUAUGUGGAACCAGGUCCAUCUAACUUUAGCAAACUUGUUUACUUUACUAUGGUCUACAACUUUGCUAUGGAACCCUUAAUCCAAAACCCCAUGAAUCAGUCACAAAUGAAUUCCAAACUAGGCAUACUGCUGCAAUUCAGUUCACAGAACUGAAUAAAAAUUCAGUUUUGUGUCCAGCCUGACAGACCAACUUUAGCCAACCUUUUCUCCAAUUUUUACACAGCAACAGACCAAGCUCACAUUACCAAAGUUAUUCCUUAGAUAUAGCUCUACUACUUUGGUAUAGCACCCCUAGGUUGAAAACAUUUAGAACAAUUUUUAUGAAGCACCAAAGUGGAGCUCAACACACUAGAACCUAGUUUCAGUCUUCUGCACUAAGUCUGGGGUCCAAAAAUCCAACAGCCUAUUUUUUUAGCAAAUUUUACACCUAGUUCCCAGCAACAGACAGUGAUAGAGUACAAGUAGUAAAUGGUGUGAGCUUCACUAACCUUUGUCGAGCAUGGAACAAGUAGUACACGGUCAAGAAUACUUGUGGGAAGCCUUGUCCACGGGGAGGUGAAGAACGGUUGGGUUUGGUCACCACAAACAAGAGGUUGGCAUUCAGCUCUGGAGUAAAGCAAAAUUGGUGGCUGAAAGAGAGGAUGCACACCAGCAAGAAUACCAGGACUCCAGCACCUUUGUAGUGGACUGGGACUAGAGCUCGAGAACAAGGGAGAAAAGCUUUUCUGAACUCAGCCGUGGAACACACUGAAUAAAUAGGCAUGGGGAGGGGUCACUGAGCUCAUCCACAAUUCAGUGCAAGAAUACAAGGGAUGCCAACACAGCAUACUAUAUGACGUGGCUCCCAUGCACUAAAUGC